AUGCUAAUUCCAGCAUACAAACCACUUCUCAAACUUGCCAAACCAGUCCAAAAGCUUAUCACAGUAUGGCCAGACGAUGCUACCUCAGCACUACAGGACUGCUUCCAGGACACAGACUGGAACAUGUUUAAAGAGGCAGCCACCUACCAUGACCACACAGACCUGCAAGAAUACACUGAAACAGUGACUGCUUACAUCAAAAAGUGCAUUGAUGAUGUGACAGUCACGAAGACCAUCACCACACGUGCCAACCAGAAGCCAUGGAUGACAGCAGAGGUCCGUGGGCUGCUAAAGACCCGUGAUGACGCUUUCAGAUCGGGAGACAAAGCAGUCCUCAAAACAGCAAGAGCUAACCUGUCCCGUGGCAUCAAGAAAGCAAAACGGUUAUAUGCACUAAAAAUCAAUAACCACUUCAGUGACAGCAAAGACACACGGAGUCUGUGGCAAGCUAUUCAGACCAUCACAGACUACAAGCCCCUGCCACAGGCCUGGGAUGACGACACAUCCCUCCCAGAUGCACUUAAUGAGUUCUAUGCACGGUUUGAAAUGCAGAAUGACAAGUCUGUACACAAACUACCCACACCUCCCAAUGACCAGGUGCUCUAUCUGUCUCCAGUCGAUGUUAGGAAGACCCUAUCUAGGGUUAACCCACGCAAGGCUGCAGGUCCUGACAACAUACCAGGCCGAGUACUGAGGGACUGUGCUGAACAGCUGACUGAUGUCUUAACAGACAUCUUUAACAUCUCAUUAAGCCAAGCAGUUGUCCCCACAUGUCUCAAGUCCACCACCAUCAUCCCAGUACCAAAGAAGUCACCUGUGUCCUGCCUGAAUGACUAUCGUCCCAUAGCACUGACCCCAAUCAUGAUGAAGUGCUUUGAGAGGUUAGUCAUGCACCAUAUCAAAUCCAACCUCCCCAACACACUUGACCCGCUCCAAUUUGCAUACCGUCCAAACCGCUCUACGGACGAUGCCAUCUCCUCCACUCUCCACCUGGCUCUUACCCAUUUGGAAAACAAAGACUCUUAUGUUAGAUUGCUGUUCAUCGACUUCAGCUCAGCAUUCAACACAAUAAUCCCACAACAGCUCAUCAGCAAACUAAACCUGCUGGGCCUAAAUGCCUCCCUCUGUAAUUGGAUCCUGGACUUUCUAACCGGAAGACCUCGGUCAGUCCGUGUCGGCCACAACACCUCCAGCACUACCACACUACCUACAAGGCUGUGUGCUCAGCCCGCUGCUCUUUACGCUGCUGACCCACGACUGCACUGCCAAGUUCAGCUCCAACCACAUCAUCAAGUUUGCUGA
ensembl:lncRNA